GGAUUAGAUACCCUAGUAUUUAAUAAGAUUAAUAGCUAGUAUAACUUUGAAAUUUAAUAAUUUUGGCGGUUAUUUAUUUAUUAGAGGAGCUUGUGUAAUUAUAAGAAUUUAUUCUUUAUAUUUAAUUUAAUUUUGUUUAUACAUCUCCGUUAUUAAAUUUAGUAGUUAUAAAAAAAUAUUUUUAAAUUUCAGGUCAAGAUGUAGCUUAUUUAAAAAUAAAGCAUUAGCUACAAUUAUAAAAUAGAUGGAUUUUAAAAUAAGUAUAGUAGGAAGAAAUUGAAUUUAAUUGUAAUAUUGACUAAAAAGUUAUUAUGAAAUUUAAUAUAUUUAAUGUACAUAUUGCCCGUCGCUUCUGUUUUUAUAGAAUAAGUCGUAACAAAGUA
rnacentral:rRNA from 1 species